AUCAUAACUUCUUGUUAUAAGUAGUGGUUAUACUCAUAAUAAUGAAGGGACUUUCAGUUCUGUGGAUUUUCAUUUCUUUUAUUGUCUUUUCAGAAGGGUUCGUGUGCCCAGAAAAUUAUUGUCACACAGUGAAAUGUGCACCUGCACAUUGCAAUGAAACACAGAUAUUUGUCGAAAAAGGAAGUACUUGCGGAUGUUGUGAUGCUUGCUACACAAAACUUUAUGAAAAUGAUAGAUGUCGUCCACUAACAAUAGGAACUCCUUUCAUGGCAAAAUGUGUCGAUGGUCUGGUUUGCGGUAAAGAUGGUGUAUGCGUGAAAAGAAGAUGUCAUUAAGUUUUCUGAUGAAGUACUUUUAGAACAGCUACAAAUUCCAAUGUUUCUAUCGCUUUGAAUUGUGAAUAUGUCGUUUAAUAAAUCCGAACUGAUGAGUAA